CAGGAAAUAUAGAACAUUUCUCUCUUACACACAAAUAUGUAAAAAAAAAUAAAAAGCACACCUUUUUCUCUUGUAUAAUAUGUGCAUUUAGAUACUGGAAUCAGAUCAAAUUUAACAUAUAUAUAUAUAUAUAUAUAUAUAUAUAUAUAUAUAUAUAUAUAUAUAUAUAUAUAUAUAUAUAUAUACUGUCACGACAGACCGACAGCCACUGCACAAGAAACUAAAUCCCACCACUGCUGAAGGUGGUGCUGAAGAGACAGCCCCGCUUCAGCACCACCAAUGUUUCGGACAGCCGGAGAGCACGUGGCAGCGAGGCGGAACCGCCGACACACCCUCGGCCAAUGAAUGGCGCACGGCACGGGAGAAUUCUGCCAUCCAGUAGAUCGGGGAGAGUAUAAAAGGCCGCUGUUCUGCUCGAAAAGAGAGAGACCUCUCACGGUACAUGUGCAUGUGGCUUCAUGUCCGUUAUCAGUGCUAUCGGCAGUGCAUGUGCUGUUACUGAUCGGCAUUGUGUGUGUUUUUUUUCUUCCAGACGAUUCAUACCCGAGCGAAGACUCCGCCCCCUGGCUGCAAACGCGGCGUUGCCUGACGGCCGAGAGGAACCCCCGUCGCUCAGGAAAGCCCGACGUGACUCCAGCAACCCCGCAGAUAACUGAACCCCUCACCACAGGAUUUCACGCCCACGCGUAAGCACACACACACACACACUCACUCACUCACUCACUCAUACCCUCCAGGCGGUCCUGAAUAAAGAUCCUACUCAGCAACACUAAAAACGGCCUCCCGUGUGUCUGUGCUAGAUGGGUGGGCUGGCUAGUUUCCUUACACUGGUGGAGGAUGCGGGCAUGAGCACGGACCCACCCACCUGAAAAAAAAAGGGGGGAGAGUUUUUUUUCCCUUCCCCUUUUCCCUUUGUUUUAAAGCCCCACACUCUACACCACCCUUAAAAAAAAAUGUAAAUGUAAUUUUUUUUUUUUGUAAAUAAAAUGGAUCCCACGCUGCAGCACCUUCUGGAGUCGAAUCUCCAGCAGCAAGCCGUGACACAGCAGCUCGCGCACAGCCUACAGGCCACAACCCGGGAACUGGUGGCCCUGAAAACAACGACUCCCACAGCUGCAAAGCCUCUCCCUGAUCCCGGCUGCGACGUCCGAUGCCUGCUUCCACCACUGACCCCCGAGGACGACAUUGAGGCCUACCUAGAGACCUUUGAAUGCAUCGCCCGCCGCGAAGGUUGGGACAGCGACGAGUGGCCACGCAUCCUUCGGCCCGCUGCUCUUCGGGGAGGCUCACACGGCCAACUAUGCCCUCUCUCCGGAGGAAGCGGCUGACUAUGGAGAGGUGAAGAAGGAGAUCCUGGCGUGGUGUGGGCGAACCCCCCACCAGGCGGCGGCGGAGUUCCAUCGGUGGAACUAUCGGCCGGGGGUCAAACCACACGGGCAGAUGGAGACCCUUCUGCACAUAACCAAGAGGUGGCUUCAACUUGACAUAUAUACCGCCACUGAGGUGGCAGAAAAGGUGGCCAUGGACUGAUUUCUAAGGGCUUUGGCACCAACAGAAUGCCAGGUAGUGGGAGUGCAAGCAGUAGGGAUGCCAAGGAACUCCUAGCCAGCCUGGAGCGCGCUUUGGCCACCCUGGAGCUCGGCCGGGAAGGACGGCAGUCCUGCAAUCUGCCCAUAAUAUUCCUGCCCCAUCGGCUCAACUGCCAGCGCUACCCUGGGGGGGGGGGCUCCGAAGCCCGCCCGCCUAUGGGACACCCAGGGACGAGCCCAUGCUAACGGAGCCGGACCUGGGACCAUCCAAGAAGACCCAAAAACCCUGGAUGGUGGGGGGCGCCCUCCACAUGACGAACCCACCAAGAGCCCCUACCCUGACGGUGUGGGUCAAACAAUCCAGCAGACAAUCCUGCCAGGAGAACUCAGCCGGGAAGGGACCAUCACCGUAACCUGCGUCCAUGGGGAUUCCAUGGAAAUCCCAGCGGCCGAGGUCCAGAUCCAGGGUAAAGCAGGCACCUGGCCACUCCUAGUUGGCGUCAUCCCCGACCUCCCGGUGCCGCUACUCCUGGGAAGAGACUGGCCAGGGUUCCCGGCCAGCCCAGCUCCAAAAUCCAGCAGGGCGCCUCAGCACACGAAAGAGACACGAGGCCUACUUGGAGCAAGACGAGCGGGAUGCCACAGUAGAAGGUAAGACGCAUACACAUACUAACCCGAUCUCGUCUGUGUUCCAACAGGUGAAUUGGCAGGGGAACUUUGGGCAGGAGCAGAAGGAGGAUAACCACCUGAAACGCUGUUGGGCACAAGUGUGGCAGAUAGAAUGGGUCAACCAGAGCCCAAACCAGAGGCUCCCCUACUUCCUCAUUAGGGGUGGUCUCCUAUACCAAUGGGCCAGCCGACAAGGGGAGAUCGUGGACCUCCUGGUAGUCCCCAAGAUGAAGACACAGACGCUGAUGCACCUGGCCAACACCCAUCCACUCGGUGGCCACUUGGGAGCAUGAAACACCCUAGAAAAGCUAAAAGACUGCUUUGUCUGGCCGGGGAUGGAUGCAGAGGUCAGGGGCUUUUGCCAACAGUGCCCCCAGUGCCAGCGCACCGCCCCACGAAGGCCCCCGCCGGCUCCCCUUAUUCCUCUGCCCAUCAUAGGCAUCCCCUUCAAGAGGGUUGGCAUGGACCUCAUGGGGCCACUCCCCAAAUCCCCAAUUCAUAUCCAACAUGGACCUAACCAAAGGAUACUGGCAAGUGGCCUGGCCCCAGAGGCAAGACCGAAGACGGCCUUCAGCAUGGCAAGCAUCCACUGGCAGUACUGGGUUCCUGGCUGUAGAUAACCACAUCGUCCAGGUAGGCAGCUGCGAAGGGUCGAUGUGGUUAUCCACUCCUCCACGUGGUUGGACCACCUCCCCCAGGUGGAACAGGUGGUCCUUAAGGAGCUCUGGAAGGCCGGGCUGACAGCCAACCCCAAAAAGUGCCACUUGGGGCUUACGGAGGCACAGUACCUCGGGUACUGUAUCGGCCGGGGCCUACUAGAGCCCCAGAUGAAGAAAAUUGAGGCAGUAAAUUGAGGCAGACAGGUACGUGCCUUUUUGUGGUUGGCGGGGUACUACCGCCGAUUUGUGCCUAACAUGUCCCCUGUAGCCUUCCUCCUCUCAGAUCUCACGAAAAAGGGCCAGCCGGACUGGGUGGUCAGCUGAAGCGGAAAGGGCCUUCCAAGCCCUGAAAGAAGCCCUCACCAGCGCUCCAGUGCUAUGCAACCCAGACUUCACCCUUCUAUUCACCGUGCACACAGAUGCAUCCGAAUCGGGCUGGGCGCAGUUCUCUCACAGACUUUCGAUGGAGAGGAACACCCGGUCCUCUACAUCAGUCGGAAGUUGUCCCCCACUGAGAAGAAAUAUGCAGCCGUGGAAAAUGAGGCCCUGGCGAUAAAAUGGGCCAUCAAAGAGCUACGAUAUUACCCGGCUGGUCGGCACUUCGUCCUGGUGACAGACCACGCCCCACUACACCCUCGGCCAAUGAAUGCCGUGUGGCACGGGAGAAUUCCACCAUCCAGCAGACGUGGGGAGAGUAUAAAAGGCCGCUGUUCCACUCAAAAAGAGAGAGACCUCUCACAAUACAUGAGCGCAUGGCUUCAUGUCUGUUAUCAGUGCUAUCGGCAUUGCAUGUGCUGUUACUAAUUGGCGUUGUGUGUUUUUUUAAGUCCAGACAAUUCAGACCCGAGUGAAGACUGCGCCGCCUGGCUGCAAAUGCGGCGUUGUCUGAUGGCCGAGAGGAACCCCCGUCGCUCAGGAAAGCCCCGGCGCAACUCCGGCAACCCCGCAGAUAACUGAACCCCUCACCACAUGAUUUCACACCCACACGCAAGCACACAUGCACACACUCGCACUCACUCACACCCUCCAGGCAGUCCUGAAUAAAGAUCCUACUCAACAACACUAAAACCGCCUCCCGUGUGUCUGUGCUCCACCCACUGCUGGCUAGUUAAUUAAUAAUUUAAUAAAAGUUUAAUAAUUUCUCCAGAAUUCCAGAUAUAUUACUACAGACUCCAUUAGAUUUUAUUGAUUGUAUUUGUCAGCUGUAAACACGUGUA